GCCUUCUUAGCUCAGUUGGCAGAGCAGUGGACUCUUAAUCCAUGGGUCGUAGGUUCAAAUCCUACAGGGGGCA
rnacentral:tRNA from 1 species